AUGGGACAGGACUUUAUUUCUUGAUAUUAGUGUUUGAACACGAAUGGCUGAACAAUGAUUUGGGCCUCUUGUGUUCCUAAACGGUUAUUUUUAUACAUGAUAUGAUUUGCACUCAAGAUAAGUGAACAAUCUUUAUUCUGAUUCAUUAAUUUUUAUACCGAUUAUUCUAUUUUAUUGUUUUAAAACCCUUCAUUUUAUUUUAUUUCUAGAAAAAGAUGACAGGAAGAUAGUUGUCCCCACUGAGAAUAAAGGACAACAUAUCAAAGCUACGCAGUUAGGGGAACCUGCAUUACAGCAAGAUAAAUAUCAGCACUCGAUAACCAAAGAAUCUGUUUUGGAAGCAGAAGAGACAAAACAAGACAUUCGAAAAAGAGAUAAACAUAUCGAUAAUUGCACUUUACAGUGAAAGCCUACAGUAUUCUAUACGAUUGCAUCUAUCUGUACAAUAUUGACUCGAUGCACUAUGAAAAGAUCAAACCUCGUUUUGUUGAUUUCUUUCAAAAUUAUUAGGGAGGAUGUGUAGCGAAGACCAUCGAUUAUAACAAUUUUACACCAAUUACUGUGAACCAAACGUAUGAUUUGUAUGGGAUACUUCAGCAUUAACUGCUCUCGGAAAUUAGAAGUCAUUAUGUGAUAAGUUAAUUCCAGACUUCACAUUCUUUAUAGUUGUUAACGUAAUUGUAUAUAUUAUAUGUAUAUUUGUAUUUGUCAUCACAUGUUUAAAAUGUUCAGUUGAUAAUUUGCAGUAGCAUUUGAUCACGUGUGCCUAAUUAAGUAUAUAAUCUAAGGUGACUUAUAGACCCAUGAUGCCGGUGUUAACUUAUCUUUGAUAUAUAUGUGUUCGUUUAUCUGUGGCAUACAGGCAUCAUAGCCUUUAGUUCCCAUUCAAAAUUCCAUUUUGUUUUGUUCUGUCCAUUGUUGUUGUUGUUGUUUUUUGUUUAAUACAUAAGCAUAGUUUACUUGGGGACUAUACGCCGCUUUCAUGCAAUAACGUGUCACUUCGAAGGUUCAAUGAUCACCGUUGUAUGAACACAUCUGCGGAUGUCUCUAAAUUCCAAUUUUACCAUUAUACUUUUGGAUCUUCUGAAGGGAUUCUAUUUCUAACUUUUUCUUAUUUCAUAUUUUUUUUUUAAAUUUCAAACUGUAUUUUGUAAUACAUGUCAACAUACUUAACAAUUUAUAUUUUUAAUAAUUUAGUUUGGUUCGAUUUUGUUGCGACGACACUUUACAGUGACACAUUUAGAAGUUCGAAGAUUUUUUUUAAACUCAUUUCUAGCUCAUUAGCACAGCAUGCACCAUGUGAGCUUUUGUGAUUCCCCUGUGUCCGUCGUAAGCAUCUUUACUUCUCCUCUAUUUCUAGUGCCGAUUAUUUUUCAGGUUGGAUCUUAGGACAGUGCCAUUCAAACAUUUGGUGUGCUAAACAAGGUCGAAUAGUGUAUAAGCUAGAAAACACCUUUAAACAUAUAUCUCCUAUUAAAUUAUUAGUAGAUUUUGUGCAACAAUACAGGAAUGAUCAAUAGAAAGUAGGUCCUAUACUGUUUUUAAUAUAUAUCCAUGACCUGCCUUUGUCUAUGGAAAAAACAGAAACUGAUAUUUUUGCUGAUGACACCACCCUUUCAACCUCUGAUGUAUCCCUAAACAGAGUAGUUGAAUCUCUUACUCAUGAUCUUUUAAAUGCCAACAAAUGGUGUGAUUUGAAUCGCAUGUCUAUCAAUGUUAACAAAACUAAGGUCAUGUAUAUUUCCUCAAAACACAAGCAAAAUUAUAUUCAUGAAAGUAAUCCUUGUAUUUUAUAUAAAACAGAGCAAAUUUUUUGUAGCUCUGAAGAAAAAUUAUUGGGUAUUACAAUUAAUAACACAUUGUCUUGGCAAAGCCAUAUUGAUAAUGUUCUUAAAAAGUGUAACUCAUUGUUACAUUUAUUAUCACGUAUAAAAUUAUUCAUAUCUAUACCUGUACGUAAAAUGUUUUACAAUGCAUAUAUUUUACCACAUCUUGAUUAUUGUUGCAUAAUUUAUGGUAACUGUACGUCUUUUCUAGAAGAUAAACUCAUUAAGUUCCAAAAGAGAGCUGCAAGACUAAUUCUAGACAAAGAUUAUGACACUCCAUCUGCUGAACUUUUUUCUGAACUCCGCUGGAUGACCUUUUCACAGAGGGUUGUUUUUCAAAAAGCUAUUAUGAUGUUUAAAAUAAUAAAUAAUCAGGCGCCUUCCUAUUUAUUGAAUAAUUUCAUUUUAUCGUCAGAUGUUCAUACUCGCAUUUUGCGUUCAUCAUCUGAUUUUCAACUUUAUACCCCUAGACCAAAUACUGAACAAUUUCGUAAGUUUUUUGUUUAUUCUGGAUCUUGUAUUUGGAACGGCCUUCCUAAUUAUAUUAAGUCUGCUACAUCUGUUAACCAUUUUAAAACCUUAUACUUGAGGUUUUAUCACGCAUUGAUGUAUACCAAUUGAUAAUCUCCUGUAUUUUUUACAUUUAUGUAUUUUAAUAGUUUGAAAAUGUUAAUUUUAUAUUGUUCCUUGUUGAGGGCCUCAUGGAAGAUUGAUAUGUUUGUUCAAAGGAGUUCUCUCGUUAAAUAAAGUCUUUAUUAUUAUUAUUAUUAUUAUUAUUAUUAAAGUCCUUAAAGAUCCUGUAUGUUUUGUGAUUGAUAUUGUCACUGUGUGUAUACCACACUUGCAAAAUAUUAUAUAUGUAUAUAAUUAUGCAAAUAAAACAAUUUUCAAACAUCCAAGAAUAUGUAAAAUGUGUACUGUAAAUAUCUGUGCACAUUACAUUUAAUCAAUAAAUUUUAUGCAUUCAUUUAUUAUUGGAAAAUUUGACUUAGAAUUUAUAGAAAAUAAAUUUCUAAUUACCUCCCUUUAUUUACAUGAAAUGUUAAAUUCGGUAAUAUCUUUAUAAAUAAUGCUUAUUGGAACUUGCAAUAUUGACAAAUCUUAAUUUGAGCAUCACAUUUAUGAAAUAAAACCAUGCAAAAAAUGUGUUACAGGAUCUUUAAAAAUGUGUCCAAAUGUUGUACGAAGUGGCCUUUGAGCUAGAAAAACAAAACAGUCUUAAAUAACAUCUUGUCCUCAAUCAUUUAAUAGAUUCUGACAAAACUUAAUAUAAAUGUUCAUUGCCAGUCCUUACUAAUUUGCUUAAAUUGUGUUGGUCUGCUGAACAAAAUGACCACAAAAGCUAAAAACGACAUCACGUCCUAAACCGAUAUGAGAGUUUUGUUAAACUGUACGGGAAUGAUCCUUGGAGGGUCCUCUGAAGAUUUUUCUCAAGUAGUUAUAAAUGGCUAAACAAGAUGAACGUCAGAGCUAUAAAAAAAAGUUGCACGUUGUUUUAUUUUCGUGAUCCAGGGUGCAAUUUAAAAACAAGUUUAGAAAAAAACAAGAAACUAAUUUAAACAUACACGUUUAGGCUUGUUUAGCGUUAAUGAACCUUUUUAGUGCAUAAACAUUUGCAUAAACGCUACGGGCUUGGGUUUUAAAAGCAUCCUAGUGGUUCAACAAAAAAUGCAUUUAUUCUCCUAGGUCCGUUGAUCAAGAUUGCGACCUGAGCUAAAACUAGAGUUUGCUUAAAAUGAAAGUUUUUAUAUACACUUGCCAGAUUCAAAUAAAACAGUAUAGGAAUAUUAAUUAUAUGAUCUUUUAAAAAUAUUGUUCCGGUCUGAAUAUUCAAAUGACUGCCAAAGCAAACGAAAGAAAUAAGUUUAAAUGAAUUUUUCUUAGCUGCUUGUUAGAUGUUAAAUGAUCCUUGGUUGAAGGAAAUGAAUGAUCACUACUGAAAUAUUAUGGUAUGUGGUUAAACUUGUCUUUUCCUAGGUUAGAAGUGAAGGAAUUCAUUGUAGAAUGUCUAUUCUAAUAUGACGCGUGAUUUUGUCACAAUUAAUAACGAAGAAAAUAACCGGUGUUAAACUUCCAAUAAACAUGGCUGUUCUUUUUGUCAUGUUAAUCUUCCAAUAAAUAAGGUAAUAUUUAACGACCACAACAGGUAAAAUCAUAUUGGUAUUUCCCCUUAUAUAAUGUCAUAUCCAUAUCAGUUGGAAAUUAUAUUAGAAAAGUUUAAAUCAUAAAAAGCGAAAUGACGUCAUCUAGAAUAUAACUCAUUCGUAAAAAAAACGCCACAUGGGUUAGUAUGAAGAUUGAUUUACCUAGCACCUGUGUAAAGUACCUGAGGUAAAAAAGGCCCCAUCCUUGGGGUAACUUAAUUUAUAUGCACUUUUAAAUUGUACCGUAAAAUGUCAUUAAAAUCUAUUUACUGAAAGUACCAAACGCAGAGCUUAUAUACUUGUAGAAUCACCCGACUUGUUAUCCUCUACAAACGUUAUAUAAAGCAUGCUCUUUUGGUCAAAAUUUGCCACAUCCUUGGGCGUGUAUACAAACGUUAUAUAAUUUAUACCCCUGAGGUCAAAUAUCCCACUUAGGGUCACUUGAACAGUAGAAUUAAUUAAAACAUUAUCCUCUGAAAGUCCAAUGCUCAGUGGCUAGAGAUACGAUCGAGGGGCAUAUUUCAAUCAGGCAGCGCGUUUUUAUUAAUAAGUCAUACCUUUUUAAAAAUGUUAAGUAGAGUCCUUCAAAAUAUUUGUCAUGGACCUCUAACACACUUUUCCAGCCUCAGAAUCCUUGUCAAAUGAGCAUUUUUAAACUGUUCUUUUGGUAUUUUUUAUACCGGAAGAGGGCGCUUCCGACGGCACUAUGGGUUUCAAAUUUGAUGUAUAGAUUAAACCAAAUGUCGCAAGGAGAGAGGUCAGGACGUUAAGUGGGAUAUAGUAAAGCCUCAAUUCUCUGCUCCUCUUAAUAAGCUUGAACCAGGGGUGACCGGUGCGCAUGCGCAUUAUCAUAGAGCUAUUUGAUCCUGUGUACCCGGAUCUUGAGAUCUUUGUGACAGCAGAACAUGAUCAUGAUAAAAUGUUCCAGUGACAUUACCUCUCUCAGGCACAGCGACACGGACCAAUAUUCCAUUAUUGUCAAUAAAUAGAGCGUACAUAACUAUUUAACGAUCCUGCUUCGUCAAGCAACAACUGCACGAUCGCUGUUUUCACUUACAACAUUUUGUUAUUGACUUAUUGUCGAGCUCAAAAAAUUAAGCAACCUUUCAGCCCCUGUGACAAUUUUUCCGAGGCGUUUACAGACUCGAUCUUUGAACCUAGUCAAUAAGACCGAGGCUUUUUCAACCCGCUUCUUGAUCUGC